GGAAGCGUGCCCGACCUAUAGGGGCUACUUUGAUAGAGUAGACCACAGGAGUUUAAAUCCCCUCACUUCC
rnacentral:tRNA from 1 species